rnacentral:sRNA from 2 species
CCAAUAGCGUAUAUUAAAGUUGUUGCAGUUAAAAAGCUCGUAGUUGAAUUUCGGGAUUGACACAUCGGUCGUGCCUUAAGGGGUAUGAACUGGUGUAGUCAAUUUCUCACCUUCUGGAGAACCGCGAUGCCCUUAAUUGGGUGUCGCGGGGAACCAGGACCUUUACUUUGAAAAAAUUAGAGUGUUUAAAGCAGGCAUUUUGCUUGAAUACAUUAGCAUGGAAUAAUAAAAUAGGACGGCAUGAUUCUAUUUUGUUGGUUUCUAGGAUCACCGUAAUGAUUAAUAGGGAUAGUUGGGGGCAUUAGUAUUCAAUUGUCAGAGGUGAAAUUCUUGGAUUUAUUGAAGACUAACUACUGCGAAAGCAUUUGCCAAGGAUGUUUUCAUUAAUCAAGAACGAAAGUUAGGGGAUCGAAGACGAUCAGAUACCGUCGUAGUCUUAACCAUAAACUAUGCCGACUAGGAAUCAGACGAUGUUAAUUUUUUAAUGACUCGUUUGGCACCUUACG